AUUGAACGCUGGCGGCAGGCCUAACACAUGCAAGUCGAGCGGAUGAAGGUAGCUUGCUACCUGAUUCAGCGGCGGACGGGUGAGUAAUGCCUAGGAAUCUGCCUGGUAGUGGGGGACAACGUUUCGAAAGGAACGCUAAUACCGCAUACGUCCUACGGGAGAAAGUGGGGGAUCUUCGGACCUCACGCUAUCAGAUGAGCCUAGGUACGAUUAGCUAGUUGGUGAGGCAAAGGCUCACCAAGGCGACGAUCGUUAACUGGUCUGAGAGGAUGAUCAGUCACACUGGAACUGAGACACGGUCAAGACUCCUACGGGAGGCAGCAGUGGGGAAUAUUGGACAAUGGGCGAAAGCCUGAUCCAGCCAUGCCGCGUGUGUGAAGAAGGUCUUCGGAUUGUAAAGCACUUUAAGUUGGGAGGAAGGGCAGUAAGUUAAUACCUUGCUGUUUUGACGUUACCGACAGAAUAAGCACCGGCUAACUUCGUGCCAGCCGCCGCCGUAAGAC
rnacentral:rRNA from 1 species